GACGAACGCUGGCGGCGUGCUUAACACAUGCAAGUCGAACGCUGAAGCUCAGCUUUUGUUGGGUGGAUGAGUGGCGAACGGGUGAGUAACACGUGAGUAACCUGCCCCCUUCUUUGGGAUAACGCCCGGAAACGGGUGCUAAUACUGGAUAUUCACUGGUCUUCGCAUGGGGGUUGGUGGAAAGGGUUUUUCUGGUGGGGGAUGGGCUCGCGGCCUAUCAGCUUGUUGGUGGGGUGAUGGCCUACCAAGGCUUUGACGGGUAGCCGGCCUGAGAGGGUGACCGGUCACAUUGGGACUGAGAUACGGCCCAGACUCCUACGGGGGGCAGCAGUGGGGAAUAUGGCACAAUGGGCGCAAGCCUGAUGCAGCGACGCCGCGUGAGGGAUGGAGGCCUUCGGGUUGUGAACCUCUUUCGCUCAUGGUCAAGCCGCAACAAUGGUUGUGGUGAGGGUAGUGGGUAAAGAAGCGCCGGCUAACUACGUG
rnacentral:rRNA from 1 species